rnacentral:rRNA from 1 species
GGCUGAAAUUCGCCUUCAUGAAGUCGGAAUUGCUAGUAAUGGCAGGUCAGCAUACUGCCGUGAAUACGUUCCCGGGCCUUGUACACACCGCCCGUCACACCAUGAGAGUUGGGAAUACCCGAAGCCUGUGAGCCAACAAACGAGGCAGCAGUCGAAGGUAGAAUCAAUGAUUGGGGUGAAGUCGUAACAAGGUAUC